rnacentral:rRNA from 1 species
AGUGAACGCUGGCGGUAGGCCUAACACAUGCAAGUCGAACGGCAGCACAGUAAGAGCUUGCUCUUACGGGUGGCGAGUGGCGGACGGGUGAGGAAUACAUCGGAAUCUACUUUUUCGUGGGGGAUAACGUAGGGAAACUUACGCUAAUACCGCAUACGACCUACGGGUGAAAGCAGGGGAUCUUCGGACCUUGCGCGAUUGAAUGAGCCGAUGUCGGAUUAGCUAGUUGGCGGGGUAAGGCCCACCAAGGCGACGAUCCGUAGCUGGUCUGAGAGGAUGAUCGGCCACACUGGAACUGAGACACGGUCCAGACUCCUACGGGAGGCAGCAGUGGGGAAUAUUGGACAAUGGGCGCAAGCCUGAUCCAGCCAUACCGCGUGGGUGAAGAAGGCCUUCGGGUUGUAAAGCCCUUUUGUUGGGAAAGAAAAGCAGCAGGUUAAUACCCCGCUGUUCUGACGGUACCAAAAGAAUAAGCACCGGCUAACUUCGUG